UACGUAGGGUGCGAGCGUUAAUCGGAAUUACUGGGCGUAAAGCGUGCGUCGGCGGUUCGCUGUGUCCGAUGUGAAAGCCCCGGGCUUAACCUGGGAAUGGCAUUGGAAACUGGCGGGCUUGAGUGUGGCAGAGGGGGGUGGAAUUCCGCGUGUAGCAGUGAAAUGCGUAGAGAUGCGGAGGAACACCGAUGGCGAAGGCAGCCCCCUGGGUUAACACUGACGCUCAGGCACGAAAGCGUGGGGAGCAAACAGG
rnacentral:rRNA from 1 species